UCCAGGCGGACGCCGAACCCCGCCGCUGUCUGGAUGCCGGGUCGACCGAACGCAUCGGUGGGGAUGGAGGACCCAAGCACGGUGGGACGACCAAGAGUAGUGCGGUCGGCCCUUGGGGUGAAGCCGUUGACACGGCCGGGCAACCUUCGCCUGCCCGAACCCGACAGGUCAUCCUUCACAGGCGGCUGACGAAGGGUUGG
rnacentral:sRNA from 1 species